rnacentral:rRNA from 1 species
UACAGAGGGGGCAAGCGUUUAUUCGGAAUUAUUGGGCGUAAAGCGCUUGUAGGCGGCUUGUUAAGUUCCGUGUGAAAUCCCCAGGCUUAACCUGGGAAGUGCGCGGAAAACUGGCGAGCUUGAGUGCCGGAGAGGGUCGCGGAAUUCCCGGUGUAGAGGUGAAAUUCGUAGAUAUCGGGAGGAACACCAGUGGCGAAGGCGGCGACCUGGACGGACACUGACGCUGA